CUCGUUCCCACGCUAGUGCAGGUUGGACAGCA
rnacentral:piRNA from 1 species